GCGGAGGGAUCAUUACCGAGUUAUCAUCAUCAACCCUGUGAACAUACCUAUAACGUUGCCUCGGCGGGAACAGACGGCCCCGUAACACGGGCCGCCCCCGCCAGAGGACCCCYUAACUCUGUUUCUAUAAUGUUUCUUCUGAGUAAACAAGCAAAUAAAUUAAAACUUUCAACAACGGAUCUCUUGGCUCUGGCAUCGAUGAAGAACGCAGCGAAAUGCGAUAAGUAAUGUGAAUUGCAGAAUUCAGUGAAUCAUCGAAUCUUUGAACGCACAUUGCGCCCGCCAGUAUUCUGGCGGGCAUGCCUGUUCGAGCGUCAUUACAACCCUCAGGCCCCCGGGCCUGGCGUUGGGGAUCGGCGGAAGCCCCCUGCGGGCACAACGCCGUCCCCCAAAUACAGUGGCGGUCCCGCCGCAGCUUCCAUUGCGUAGUAGCUAACACCUCGCAACUGGAGAGCGGCGCGGCCACGCCGUAAAACACCCAACUUCUGAAUGUUGACCUCGGAUCAGGUAGGAAUACCCGCUG
rnacentral:rRNA from 1 species